rnacentral:rRNA from 1 species
UUCCGGUUGAUCCUGCCGGAGGUUACUGCUAUCGGUGUUCGACUAAGCCAUGCGAGUCAAAUGUUCUUCGUGAACAUGGCGGACUGCUCAGUAACACGUGGAUAACCUGCCCUUAGGUUCGGCAUAACUCCGGGAAACUGGAGAUAAUUCCGAAUAGGUCAAAUAUGCUGGAAUGCUUUUUGGCCAAAAGACCUCGGUUGCCUAAGGAUGGAUCUGCGGUCUAUCAGGUUGUAGUGGGUGUAACGUACCUACUAGCCUACGACGGAUAUGGGUUGUGAGAGCAAGAGCCCAGAGAUGGAUUCUGAGACAUGAAUCCAGGCCCUACGGGGCGCAGCAGGCGCGAAAACUUUACAAUGCGGGAAACCGCGAUAAGGGGACACCGAGUGCCAGCAUUUAUGUUGGCUGUCCACAUGUGUAAACGGCAUGUGUUAGCAAGGGCCGGGCAAGACCGGUGCCAGCCGCCGCGGUAACACCGGCGGCCCGAGUGGUAAUCACUUUUAUUGGGUCUAAAGGGUCCGUAGCCGGUUUGAUCAGUUCUUCGGGAAAUCUGACAGCUCAACUGUUAGGCUUCCGGGGAAUACUGUCAGACUU